CAUGCAAGUCGAGGGGCAGCAUGGCCUUAAGUUGCUAAGGCCGAUGGCGACCGGCGCACGGGUGAGUAACACGUAUCCAACCUACCGUCUACUCUUGGACAGCCUUCUGAAAGGAAGAUUAAUACAAGAUGGCAUCAUGAGUCCGCAUGUUCACAUGAUUAAAGGUAUUCCGGUAGACGAUGGGGAUGCGUUCCAUUAGAUAGUAGGCGGGGUAACGGCCCACCUAGUCUUCGAUGGAUAGGGGUUCUGAGAGGAAGGUCCCCCACAUUGGAACUGAGACACGGUCCAAACUCCUACGGGAGGCAGCAGUGAGGAAUAUUGGUCAAUGGGCGAGAGCCUGAACCAGCCAAGUAGCGUGAAGGAUGACUGCCCUAUGGGUUGUAAACUUCUUUUAUAAAGGAAUAAAGUCGGGUAUGGAUACCCGUUUGCAUGUACUUUAUGAAUAAGGAUCGGCUAACUCCGUGCCAGCAGCCGCGGUAAUACGGAGGAUCCGAGCGUUAUCCGGAUUUAUUGGGUUUAAAGGGAGCGUAGAUGGAUGUUUAAGUCAGUUGUGAAAGUUUGCGGCUCAACCGUAAAAUUGCAGUUGAUACUGGAUAUCUUGAGUGCAGUUGAGGCCGGCGGAAUUCGUGGUGUAGCGGUGAAAUGCUUAGAUAUCACGAAGAACUCCGAUUGCGAAGGCAGCCUGUUAAGCUGCAACUGACAUUGAGGCUCGAAAGUGUGGGUAUCAAACAGGAUUAGAUACCCUGGUAGUCCACACGGUAAACGAUGAAUACUCGCUGUUUGCGAUAUACAGCAAGCGGCCAAGCGAAAGCGUUAAGUAUUCCACCUGGGGAGUACGCCGGCAACGGUGAAACUCAAAGGAAUUGACGGGGGCCCGCACAAGCGGAGGAACAUGUGGUUUAAUUCGAUGAUACGCGAGGAACCUUACCCGGGCUUAAAUUGCAGAUGAAUUACGGUGAAAGCCGUAAGCCGCAAGGCAUCUGUGAAGGUGCUGCAUGGUUGUCGUCAGCUCGUGCCGUGAGGUGUCGGCUUAAGUGCCAUAACGAGCGCAACCCUUGUUGUCAGUUACUAACAGGUUCUGCUGAGGACUCUGACAAGACUGCCAUCGUAAGAUGUGAGGAAGGUGGGGAUGACGUCAAAUCAGCACGGCCCUUACGUCCGGGGCUACACACGUGUUACAAUGGGGGGUACAGAGGGCCGCUACCACGCGAGUGGAUGCCAAUCCCCAAAACCUCUCUCAGUUCGGACUGGAGUCUGCAACCCGACUCCACGAAGCUGGAUUCGCUAGUAAUCGCGCAUCAGCCACGGCGCGGUGAAUACGUUCCCGGGCCUUGUACACACCGCCCGUCAAGCCAUGGGAGCCGGGGGUACCUGAAGUGCGUAACCGCGAGGAGCGCCCUAGGGUAAAACUGGUGACUGGGGCUAAGUC
rnacentral:rRNA from 1 species